AUCAUUUUGUAAAGUUUAAAUUAUCAAAUCAAUAUGUCGUACAUCUGAAACUCACACGAUAUUGUAAAUCAAUUACAUGUCAAUUAAAAAGCAUGCACAAAGAAAGCAGGAGGAAAUUAAUAAAAAAUAAACAAUAAAAUGGUGAAUUAAAGCCAGAAAAACCAUAGAUUUAACUAGUAAACAUAAGGAUGAAGAGUGUGAGGAGGAUAACAUUACUUACCACGUCCUGAGAUUCUCUUCAAAAAUCUCUAAAAUACUCUUCCUCCUCAAAUCUCCAAGAUUCUCCUUUCUCCCAUUUAUACAAAAUGUAAAAUUUUGCUUAGAAAUAAUACAUGUUCCUAAAAUGUAUUCUUAUUUCUAAAAUGGAUAAAGCGCUCUUAGAAUUCAGCUCAGCCAAAUUAAUGUCACCAGACUCAUACUAGAUAUGAAGGACUGGCAUUCAAAGAGGAGAAGGUCACUGUUCUCCUGUAGUUCAGUCUAAUAGGGAAGAGAGAGCUGUACGGAGAAAUGCACUUUUAGGGUAGCAGCAUUAGAUAAUGGAGUUAAGGAAACAAUAAUAAUAAUUUAUUAUUUUCCUAUUGCAGAAAGACAAUCUACUCUACUCAAGACAAUUUACUAAACAAGCUUUAGCCAGGAAGAACAAAAACUGAAGUGACACGAUUUGAAUUACAAUUGUGUAUUAAUAAUAAAAUUUUACAAAAAAAGAAAAAAAAUAUUGUAAAACAUAUGACAUAUCACUUAAUUUUGUUGUGCCUCAGCUCUCUCAUCUCAGAAACUAGGAGAAUGACUGUACUCACAGUACUGAGCUCACAAGCUUUCUGCUACAAGAUGAAUGCUCAUGAAUACACCUUUUGAAUGCUGACAUUCUUUUUCCAUAUUUGAGUGAUAUGCUAAGAGUCGAUGUCUAUUCCCAAACUCUUUAGGUGGGUUUUACUGAUAAUUAUAAUUAUUGCUAUGUACUUAAACUUAUUAAUAUCUGAAUAAACUAAAAUUGUAAGUGGGAGAAAUAGAAUUG
rnacentral:lncRNA from 1 species